UCCGAAAAAGUUAUUUUUAAUGACUUAUUUACAUUAAGUUGAGGGUCUGCACCUUUUGGAA
rnacentral:tRNA from 1 species